AUGUUGUAUGGCGCGGAGUGUUGGCCGACUAAAAGGCAACAUGUUCAACAGUUAGGUGUGGCGGAGAUGCGUAUGUUGAGAUGGAUGUGUGGCCACACGAGGAAGGAUCGAGUCCGGAAUGAUGAUAUACGAGAUAGAGUUGGGGUAGCACCAAUUGAGGAGAAGCUUGUCCAACAUCGUUUGAGAUGGUUUGGGCAUAUUCAGCGCAGGCCUCCAGAAGCUCCAGUGCAUAGCAGACGGCUAAAGCACUGCAGAUGA
rnacentral:rRNA from 1 species